rnacentral:rRNA from 1 species
UACGUAGGUGGCAAGCGUUAUCCGGAAUUAUUGGGCGUAAAGAGCGCGCAGGUGGUUGAUUAAGUCUGAUGUGAAAGCCCACGGCUUAACCGUGGAGGGUCAUUGGAAACUGGUCGACUUGAGUGCAGAAGAGGGAAGUGGAAUUCCAUGUGUAGCGGUGAAAUGCGUAGAGAUAUGGAGGAACACCAGUGGCGAAGGCGGCUUCCUGGUCUGUAACUGACACGGAGGCGCGAAAGCGUGGGGAGCAAACAGGAUUAGAUACCCU